AAUAUUGGACAAUGGGCGCAAGCGUGCUCCAGCCAUGCCGCGUGAGUGAUGAAGGCCCUCUGGUUGUAAAGCUCUUUCUCCGGUGAUGAUAAUGACGGUAGCCGGCGAAGAAGCCCCGGCUAACUUCGUGCCAGCAGCCGCGGUAAUACGAAGGGGGCGCGCGUUGUUCGGAAUUACUGGGCGUAAAGCGCACGUAGGCGGAUCGGUCAGUUAGGGGUGAAAUCCCAGGGCUCAACCCUGGAACUGCCUUUAAUACUGCCGGUCUUGAGUUCGAGAGAGGGGAGUGGAAUUCCGAGUGUAGAGGUGAAAUUCGUAGAUAUUCGGAGGAACACCAGUGGCGAAGGCGGCUCACUGGCUCGAUACUGACGCUGAGGUGCGAAAGCGUGGGGAGCAAACAGG
rnacentral:rRNA from 1 species